rnacentral:rRNA from 1 species
AGAGUUUGAUCCUGGCUCAGAAUCAACGCUGGCGGCGUGCCUAACACAUGCAAGUCGAACGAGAAAGUGGAGCAAUCCAUGAGUAAAGUGGCGCACGGGUGAGUAACACGUGACUAACCUACCCUUGAGUGGGGAAUAACUUCGGGAAACCGAGGCUAAUACCGCAUAACACCUAUCGGGUCAAAGGAGCAAUUCGCUUAAGGAGGGGGUCGCGGCAGAUUAGUUAGUUGGCGGGGUAAUGGCCCACCAAGACGGUGAUCUGUAUCCGGCCUGAGAGGGCGCACGGACACACUGGAACUGAAACACGGUCCAGACUCCUACGGGAGGCAGCAGUGGGGAAUUUUGCGCAAUGGGGGAAACCCUGACGCAGCAACGCCGCGUGGAGGAUGAAGUCCCUUGGGACGUAAACUCCUUUCGAUCGGGACGAUUAUGACGGUACCGGAAGAAGAAGCCCCGGCUAACUUCGUGCCAGCAGCCGCGGUAAUACGAGGGGGGCGAGCGUUGUUCGGAAUUAUUGGGCGUAAAGGGCGCGUAGGCGGUUGGAUAAGUCUUGUGUGAAAUCUUCGGGCUCAACUCGAAGUCUGCACGAGAAACUAUCUGGCUUGAGUGUGGGAGGGGUGAGUGGAAUUCCUGGUGUAGCGGUGAAAUGCGUAGAUAUCAGGAGGAACACCUGUGGCGAAAGCGGCUCACUGGACCACAACUGACGCUGAGGCGCGAAAGCUAGGGGAGCAAACAGGAUUAGAUACCCCGGUAGUCC